GACGAACGCUGGCGGCGUGCCUAAUACAUGCAAGUAGAACGCUGAAGAGAGGAGCUUGCUCUUCUUGGAUGAGUUGCGAACGGGUGAGUAACGCGUAGGUAACCUGCCUUGUAGCGGGGGAUAACUAUUGGAAACGAUAGCUAAUACCGCAUAACAAUGGAUGACACAUGUCAUUUAUUUGAAAGGGGCAAUUGUUCCACUACAAGAUGGACCUGCGUUGUAUUAGCUAGUAGGUGAGGUAAUGGCUCACCUAGGCGACGAUACAUAGCCGACCUGAGAGGGUGAUCGGCCACACUGGGACUGAGACACGGCCCAGACGCCUACGGGAGGCAGCAGUAGGGAAUCUUCGGCAAUGGGGGCAACCCUGACCGAGCAACGCCGCGUGAGUGAAGAAGGUUUUCGGAUCGUAAAGCUCUGUUGUAAGUCAAGAACGGGUGUGAGAGUGGAAAGUUCACACUGUGACGGUAGCUUACCAGAAAGGGACGGCUAACUACGUG
rnacentral:rRNA from 1 species